GAUGAACGCUGGCGGCGUGCCUAAUACAUGCAAGUCGAGCGAACAGAUGAGGAGCUUGCUCCUCUGACGUUAGCGGCGGACGGGUGAGUAACACGUGGAUAACCUACCUAUAAGACUGGGAUAACUUCGGGAAACCGGAGCUAAUACCGGAUAAUAUAUUGAACCGCAUGGUUCAAUAGUGAAAGACGGUUUUGCUGUCACUUAUAGAUGGAUCCGCGCCGCAUUAGCUAGUUGGUAAGGUAACGGCUUACCAAGGCAACGAUGCGUAGCCGACCUGAGAGGGUGAUCGGCCACACUGGAACUGAGACACGGUCCAGACUCCUACGGGAGGCAGCAGUAGGGAAUCUUCCGCAAUGGGCGAAAGCCUGACAGAGCAACGCCGCGUGGGUGAUGAAGGUCUUCGGAUCGUAAAACUCUGUUAUUAGGGAAGAACAAAUGUGUAAGUAACUAUGCACGUCUUGACGGUACCUAAUCAGAAAGCCACGGCUAACUACGUG
rnacentral:rRNA from 1 species